AGUCGGGCGCUGUCUGACGCUCCGGCGCUCGCGUUCAGCUCCGCUGCAGUGACUCGGCGAAGGCAGGAUCACUUUUUUCCACUAACCCCUUCUGUCCGCUCACACACAUCUGACAGCUCCCAGGACGGCCAUGACGUCUCGAAGAUGGUUUCAUCCCAACAUCACUGGGAUCGAGGCAGAACACCUCCUCCUGACACGAGGCGUCCAUGGCAGCUUCCUAGCGAGACCCAGCAAGAGCAACCCAGGAGAUUUCACUGUCUCCGUCAGGAGGAACGAUGAGGUCACCCACAUAAAAAUCCAAAACUCAGGGGACUAUUAUGACCUGUACGGAGGGGAGAAGUUCGCCACACUGACUGAACUGGUGCAGUACUACACCGAGCAGCACGACCUCCUGCGGGAGCGGAACGGAGAUGUCAUCGAGCUCAAAUACCCCUUAAACUGCAAAGAUCCCACAUCAGAGAGGUGGUAUCAUGGGCAUCUCUCGGGUAGAGAUGCUGAAAAGCUCCUUACGGAGAAGGGCAAGUCCGGCAGCUUCCUGGUGAGAGAGAGCCAAAGUAAACCAGGAGACUUUGUGCUUUCUGUCCUCACUUAUGAGGAAAAGCAUGAAAAUGUGGACCGCAAGACUAAAGUCACCCAUGUCAUGAUACGUUAUCAGGAUGGGAAAUAUGAUGUAGGAGGAGGAGAGAGGUUUGACACUUUAGCAGAUUUAGUGGAGCACUAUAAGAAGAACCCAAUGGUGGAGAAGAGUGGAAUUGUUGUGCACCUUAAACAGCCGUUCAAUGCCACAAGGAUAAAUGCAGCAAACAUUGAAAACAGGGUGCGAGAAUUAAAUAAAGUGGCUGACAACUCAGAGAAACCCAAGCAAGGCUUCUGGGAAGAAUUUGAGGUUUUACAGCAGCAAGAAUGUAAACUCCUUUAUCCCAGGAAAGAGGGACAGAGACCAGAAAAUAAAAAUAAGAACCGAUACAAAAACAUUCUACCAUUUGACACCACUCGAGUGCAAAUCAGAGAGGCGGAUCCUGACGUGCCUGGCUCUGAUUAUAUCAAUGCUAACUACAUCCGAAGUGUGCAUGAAGAGGGUCGUCAUAUGGAUGAGGGUAAAGUGUUCAUCGCCACUCAGGGUUGCCUUCAGAACACCGUCAUAGACUUCUGGAAAAUGGUGUACCAGGAAAACACUCAUGUUAUUGUCAUGACGACCAAGGAGAUGGAGAGAGGACGGAAUAAGUGUGUGCGUUACUGGCCGGACUUAAACUCCACUAAGGAGUUUGGGAAGGUGUGUGUGAAGAACAUUGAGGAACAUACAGCUCAAGACUACAUACGACGAGAGCUGGAGGUCACAUGUCUAGACAUGCGAGAGCCUCCCAGAUGUAUUUGGCACUAUCAGUACCUGAGCUGGCCUGAUCAUGGUGUUCCCAAUGAACCUGGAGGGGUGCUGAGCUUCUUGGAGCAAGUUAACAGGACCCAGAGUGCCAUUCCAGAGAGUGGACCUAUAGUAGUUCACUGCAGUGCAGGGAUUGGAAGAACAGGCACAAUUAUUGUGAUUGACAUCCUUAUCGAUAUCAUAAACAGACAAGGAUUGGAUUGCGACAUUGACAUCCCAAAGACCAUUCAGAGAGUGCGGCAGCAGCGAUCCGGUAUGGUGCAGACUGAAGCCCAGUACAAGUUCAUCUACAUGGCUGUUCAGCAAUACAUCGACACUGCUCAGAAGAGACUGGAAGAGGAGCAGAGGAAUAAAACAAAGGAGAGAGAAUACUCUAAUAUCAAAUACCCACAGAUGACAAAUGCCAGAACCAAGCCAAACAUUGGCUCAUCUCGGCCUUCAUCCGUAAUGAACGAUGACUCUGGUGUGUACGAGAAUUUAAACAUCAAGAAUCCAAAGGGCUCUGCAAGCAGUAACACCAGGAGAUAAGCCAUGUGGGCUGCUGUCUUAGGAACUCUGGGAGUAUGUUUUUCAGCCCUUCUCACAAACACACCACAAUGUGACUGCAUUGAUGCAGCCCAAGUUCUAACAGAGGUGCUUUGUCAAAGCACCUGACCAUGGAGUGACUCUGAAGGGGAUUGGUAGCGCCUACUGUCCGCUGAAGCCAACUAUGCCCGGCUUCAAGCUGGAGAUUCCACCGAAAUCUCAAUAGCUACUCUCUUAUUCCCCUGCCUCCCAUCUCAGCCUGAUUGACUGUCUGAGAAGCUCACACUCCCAACACCAAGUGCCUGAUCUGCAGCCCAAACUGUUCCACAGAGAGGACAUGUGACUUGGUGCUUUCUCUCCCCAUUUGUAGUCUAAUAAUUCUCAAAUCUGCACUAAGCUACAUGUUUAUUUGUAUAGGUGUGAAAUAUAUUAAAUAGGAAUAUUUACACUCAGUGACGUAAAUUGGAUGAAGCUAUGCUCUUUCCAUGUGCUCUACGGCUGUUUCUUUGUCUACUGGAUGUCGUCUACUGUAACCAAAGACCUUUGCUAGAUCUCUUAGUAUUUCAUGAGCAACAAUCAUUAGCACUGUGUUGAGUGAUGCUCGUGGCUUGGUGAUGUAAGAAGAACAGAACUACACCACCUGUGCCAGCCCCUCAAGAAUCACCUCUGGAGUAACCUGGAGUGAUGGUUGCUCUGAGUGUUUGCUCAAUGUACGACCAGUGAAUUGGAUAGCUAGUAAGCAGGUGUUUUAAAUGGACUGAUUUGGUACAGUGUUGUAGGAUUUACACAGUAUGUGCCAAUUAGCAGCAUGUGCAUCAUGUCUGUGGAAGCUUCUGCUUUUGAUGCUAUUUUAUUGAGUGUUACCUCCAAGCUAAUGAAAAUGUGGAGGGAAAUCAAGUGCUACUGUGUCUGGUUCCUCCCACUAGGCUACGUUUUAGGCUUUUUGUUCCUAAAAUCAUCAGGGAAGCCUUCAGUAUUAGAGUUUUGGGAUAAUUUGUUUUUGUGUGUAUUAGUUUUUUAUGUUAAUACUGAUUUUAUUUGCAUCUAGGAUUCCUUUUAGAAAGUUUUAUCUUUUGUUGUGAUAUUUGUGAAUGUGAUUAUGAAAUCUAGCUAUUAUGCAGAUAUGUUUGAAAAGGAGAAUUUAUUGGGUUAUUCCAAAUUGUCCAGUCCUUUCAGACUUAUAAACAGGAUAUGUUUGCAUAAAGAAUUUAUAAAUAGAUUUAUCAAAUUGCAGGUUGUAAAUGAAAAACGUGGUAUUUCUACUAAACCUCUGCAAGGGGGUGUAUGUCAGGAUGUCGGCCAAACCAUUGACGUGAACAGCCUUCGCUUGAGACUUUAGCUAAAUAUGGGCAAGCCAGAUGGCCCUUGGCCAAGAUUAAAGAAUAGAUUUGUGUAGGGGGGUGAAAAAAACUAAUUUAAAAGAUUAAUUUCAGAUGUGGCUAUUAUUGGUUUACAUCAACAUCUCUGGUGAUGUCACCAGUUGUCAUAGGUCCUGGUAGAUGAGUUCAGCUGGACAUGCGUGUUGGAUAAGAUAAAUCAGGGCAUGAUGUGUCUGAUUAAUCGCAGCAUCUGACUGUGAAAGUGGCAAUAGUGUUCGCAUGACAGGUUUUAUGAUGUCAUGAGCAGAAGAGUUGUGGAAUGUGGUUCGAGGGUGGACUGGGUCUGUUUUUCCGUGGAUGGUUUUACUAAGUUGGAAGGACAAGAUGUUUGGAGAAGUUUUAAUUUUUGAUAGAUCACCUCGGAAGUGUAAAAGCAAGGUUUUAUCACUGCUUAUGAUAAUCACAUAAUAAUACAUGUUAAAUCUGUUUUAAGCUGUCUAAGAGUACUGUUACAGUGGAAGGAACAUAUGAAUGUGCUGUCCUUUGAGUGAAGACUGAAUGAAUUUGAAUCUGUGAUUUAUGUACCAGAUCGUGUGAGUUUAUUAUCCUUGAAUGCUUGGAAGAUUUUUGUCUGAUCUUCCUGUUUUAUUUAGUUUUAUUUUUAACUCUGCCUCUAUGAAAAAGUGUAAGGGGUCAAUAUUUUGAGUGUGAGAUAUGUAGAGUUCAGUACUUGAAAUUUAUUUUGAAUCUCUGCUGAUAGGUUUUGUAUACGGCUGUUAGAAUGUUCUGUGUUUAGAAAUAUUUGACUUUUUUUUUUGUCUUUGGUGUUUGCCAUUAAUGUGGUAUUUUGCGUUAUAUAUCCGUUGUUUUCUUGUUUUUGCUCAAUUAUUGAUCUGGUGUAAAUUGUACAUUUCAGUUGUUUGUUAAUACAUAGAUGGAAAUAUUCACAGCUAAAUUUUGCAUAUUAUUUUAAAAUGCUUUAACUAUUAUUAUUAUUAAUAAUAAUAAUAAUGAUGUUGCCUAUGAAGCUACAGUAUCAGCUUGCUUAAUCGCAAUUUAAAGUCUUCUCUUUACAUUUACUUGAAUACUAUGUUAGUGGGUCUUUUUUAAUCAAAUGUUUUUUCUGGUGGUGAUCAGUAUUGAUCUGAAUAGUGUUGUGCUGAUUUCGUGUGGUAAAGACUGUGUUCCCUCUUGCACCAGUUCAGCCUAAAAUGCCUUCUGCCCUGGCAAAUACAGCUGAUAUACGUCUCUAAUGACGAUAAAAGAUUAGAUGUUGAAUAAUAAAGCAUACACUGGGAAAUUUCACCUAACGUUGUCUUUGACUCAG